CUACGGGAUGCUGUAGUGGGGAAUAUUGGGCAAUGGGCGCAAGCCUGACCCAGCAACGCCGCGUGAGGGAAGAAGGUUUUCGGAUUGUAAACCUCUGUCCUUGGGGACGAAGAAGUGACGGUACCCAAGGAGGAAGCUCCGGCUAACUACGUGCCAGCAGCCGCGGUAAUACGUAGGGAGCAAGCGUUGUCCGGAAUUACUGGGCGUAAAGGGUGCGUAGGCGGCAUAUUAAGUCAGGUGUGAAAUACUCGGGCUCAACCCGGGGGCUGCAUUUGAAACUGAUAUGCUUGAGUGUGAGAGAGGAAAGUGGAAUUCCUAGUGUAGCGGUGGUAUGCGUAGAUAUUAGGAGGAACACCAGUGGCGAAGGCGACUUUCUGGCUCAUAACUGACGCUGAGGCACGAAAGCGUGGGGAGCAAACAGGAUUAGAUACCCGGGUAGUC
rnacentral:rRNA from 1 species